GACGAACCGUGCUAACGUUGUUCGGCUUCAUUGGGCUUAAAGGGCGCGUAGGCUGUGCGUUAAGUCAAUGGUGAAAUACCACGGCUCAACCGUGGAAUUGCCGUUGAAACUGGCGCGCUAGAGGAAGGUAGAGGUGUGUGGAACUUCCAGUGGAGCGGUGAAAUGCGUUGAUAUUGGAAGGAACGCCGGUGGCGAAAGCGACACGCUGGACCUUUUCUGACGCUGAGGCGCGAAAGCUAGGGUAGCGAACGGG
rnacentral:rRNA from 1 species